ACGACCUUACUUGAACAGGAUCUGUUCUAUAGGCUCGUACCUCUGUGUCCUUGAGUUCUAAGGAGACAGGAUAUCAAGUCUGGUGGAUGAAUCAUGACCGUGUGAUCAGAGCGUGAGUAACGGCCGUCACCGACCCUUGGGUUGUUGAGGCUGUAGAGGAUCGUUCUCAGCUGGGUUACCGGCUGGGGUGGUCACUCGGUUGUCUGACAGACU
rfam:Citrus sinensis cultivar Ridge Pineapple sweet orange scaffold10134_contig_1, whole genome shotgun sequence.